rnacentral:lncRNA from 1 species
GCUAUAUUCAAAAUUAUUUUAUUAUCAAACCCAUACCAUUUGUUUUACUGGAAAAGGAAAAGUGGUUUGCUUUUUACUGCUGGAUCAUAUUUUGUGUAGUAAAGAAAUUCUUUGGUCAAUGUUGUAAUCUUUAUAUUUCAAUUUUAAGGUUUCCUUAUCUGUAUUAUAGUAAAUUCAUGAUUUUGAGAUUCAAGGCUCCUAAGAGUUUGAUUUGCUCCAUUUUGUCUUAAAAUAUUCUUUCUCAAUUGUUAUAUCUUAGGUAUUGUACUUCCAAUUUCAACAAAGAUGUCAACAUGAACCAGGCUACUGUUUAAGUACAUGUAUAUUAUAAAUUAUCUUGUGUUAUUAUCUUUUCUAAGAGAACAAAGUCCCUAUUAUUCCUAUUGCAAAGCACACAGGAAUUUAAGAAAGUACAGUAAUUUUUAAAAAAAAAAAUAUCCGGUAAAUGUAGUAUUCUUACUUGUUCUAUAUUACUUAUACCUAUUGUCUAUAUAGCUUUAAUUUAUAGCUGUCAGUUUAACAUUGGCAUGUCUGGCAAAGAAAAUUAAACUUUAAGAGUUUUAUAAACUGUUUCUAGGUUGCUAAAGAAUUUAUUUUUCUACGAUAAAUGGUAUAGACAAAGCAUCAACUAUGUACAGGAUAAAAGCCUGACUAUUUCUAUUGAAAGUAGGCUUACAAGAGAAUUUUCAGAACUGUUCAUAUCUUUGGUUCAUUCUGUCCUAACUUUACAAUUGUAAUAUGUGAGUCCCAGUUUAUUUAAGCUAUUAUCUUUUAUAAUGUGUUAAUUUAACAUUCAUUUACAUUUAAAACUAUUUUUGUUAUUAAAAUUAGCAUUUAUAAGUUUCCACAUUAACCACCUUACACCUCUUCCAAAACUGAUAUUACUUUUCUAUGCAUUCUAUCAUUGAUUUGACACACUACAUAGUGAAUCACUUAAAUAUUCUACAUCUGGUUCAUUUUACUACUAGGUUACAGAUAUUGAAAAUUAAAGUAUGGUUUAAAGCUCAGUCUGUUACACUGACUUGUGUUUGUUUUUGGCCAAGGGUAUAGGUAUGUUUUUAAACAUUAGAACAGUAAAUCUAAGAAGUGAAUAACAUAAUUAAAUCAUUUGUUGCUUGUAAGUUAUUGCACUGUUUAGGGACACACACGUACACACAUGUGUAUAUAGAUUUAAUGGGUUUAAAGAAUAGUAGAUAGUCUUAAAAUAAUGGGUCAACAUUUGACAUUCACAAUAUUUAAAAAGUCCAUCUAUACACAUUGCCGUUGUUUCACUUACAAUUCAGUGCUUUUUAUUCCAAAAUCAGUCUCGACAGUGUUUAGAUAAUAUAAAGAAGAAUAGAGGGGUCUCUGUUUCAGGCUUUUAGUAGAUAUUUUUAGGAGUCAAAUUCUAUUUGUUAUGUACUUGCCAAGGAAUACAUAUAUCUUAACAAAAUUCCAGGUGCAAUUUAUGUGUUUAAAGUGAUAUUUUUAGUAGUACUUCCCUCCCCUCCCCGGCCCCUGCCCCUUAACACAGGGUAAAUACUGUAGGUAACAGCAAUCUAACUUACCCCAAAAAAGCAGACCUUUUUUUUUUUCUAUACUGUAUGUAAAUAUUAAAGACAUUAUGGUCGGCUGGUUGGUUGGUUGGUUGGUUGGUUGAUUUGGUUUAGUUGGGUAUUUUUUGUUUUCGUUUGUUUUUUGUUUUUGUGGUACUGAAAUCUACUUUCUAAUAUCUCUUAGAUAUAAACAAAGGGGACAUUUGAAAUGAAGUCUUAGGCUUUAACUUCCGUGAUUAUUUUUAGUUUAUUAUAGAGUAAUAAUUGGGAUGCUAUUUGUCAGUGACUUUAAAAUGUCAAAAGUGGUUUGUUUCUUUUUAUAGUUAAUAUAAUUUUAUGCUUUAUCCAGACGCUGCUGCCAUUAUCAGUAAAGCUGCUGAAUGCUGAAUGCUUUGCAUAACACAUUAAGAAGCAGUGCGAUUUUAAAUUAAAGUUGCCUAUAUUUACCAUGUUGUUGGUAAAAAUUAGCUAAUCUUAGGUAAAGUAGGAACAUUUAAAUUUUUAUAUUAAUAUAAUUAAGAUUGUACUGGAUGACUUUGUUAUUGAACUUUCCUUAUACAAUGAAAGGAAAUGAAAAACUCAUUGUGAAUAUAAGCUUUUAAAACUAGGGCCUGAGGGUGUGUAGCUCAGUUGGUAGAGUGUUUGCGUAGGUUCCACAAAGCCUUGGAGUCAGCCCUCACCCAGCACUACAUAAACCAAGCCUGUUGGCACCUAUCUAUAAUCCUAGCAUAUAGGAGAUAGAGGCAGAAAAAUCAAAAGUUCAGAAUCGUCCUUGACUACAUAGUUUGAGCAUAGCCUGCAACACAUUAGAACCUACCUUUUAAAAAGGUUUAAAAAUAGG